GGACCCGUAGCUCAGCGGCUAGAGCAUCUGAUUCCAGCUUGGUCCAGAAACAGGCAUCCAGAAGGUCAUCCGUUCAAAUCGGGUCGGGUUCA